rnacentral:rRNA from 1 species
AAUGGGUCAGCGACUUAUAUUCUGUAGCAAGGUUAACCGAAUAGGGGAGCCGAAGGGAAACCGAGUCUUAACUGGGCGUUAAGUUGCAGGGUAUAGACCCGAAACCCGGUGAUCUAGCCAUGGGCAGGUUGAAGGUUGGGUAACACUAACUGGAGGACCGAACCGACUAAUGUUGAAAAAUUAGCGGAUGACUUGUGGCUGGGGGUGAAAGGCCAAUCAAACCGGGAGAUAGCUGGUUCUCCCCGAAAGCUAUUUAGGUAGCGCCUCGUGAAUUCAUCUCCGGGGGUAGAGCACUGUUUCGGCAAGGGGGUCAUCCCGACUUACCAACCCGAUGCAAACUGCGAAUACCGGAGAAUGUUAUCACGGGAGACACACGGCGGGUGCUAACGUCCGUCGUGAAGAGGGAAACAACCCAGACCGCCAGCUAAGGUCCCAAAGUCAUGGUUAAGUGGGAAACGAUGUGGGAAGGCCCAGACAGCCAGGAUGUUGGCUUAGAAGCAGCCAUCAUUUAAAGAAAGCGUAAUAGCUCACUGGUCGAGUCGGCCUGCGCGGAAGAUGUAACGGGGCUAAACCAUGCACCGAAGCUGCGGCAGCGACGCUUAUGCGUUGUUGGGUAGGGGAGCGUUCUGUAAGCCUGUGAAGGUGUGCUGUGAGGCAUGCUGGAGGUAUCAGAAGUGCGAAUGCUGACAUAAGUAACGAUAAAGCGGGUGAAAAGCCCGCUCGCCGGAAGACCAAGGGUUCCUGUCCAACGUUAAUCGGGGCAGGGUGAGUCGACCCCUAAGGCGAGGCCGAAAGGCGUAGUCGAUGGGAAACAGGUUAAUAUUCCUGUACUUGGUGUUACUGCGAAGGGGGGACGGAGAAGGCUAUGUUGGCCGGGCGACGGUUGUCCCGGUUUAAGCGUGUAGGCUGGUUUUCCAGGCAAAUCCGGAAAAUCAAGGCUGAGGCGUGAUGACGAGGCACUACGGUGCUGAAGCAACAAAUGCCCUGCUUCCAGGAAAAGCCUCUAAGCAUCAGGUAACAUCAAAUCGUACCCCAAACCGACACAGGUGGUCAGGUAGAGAAUACCAAGGCGCUUGAGAGAACUCGGGUGAAGGAACUAGGCAAAAUGGUGCCGUAACUUCGGGAGAAGGCACGCUGAUAUGUAGGUGAAGUCCCUUGCGGAUGGAGCUGAAAUCA